UAUAUUUUAGUGUAAAAUGCACAAUAAUUUUUGAUAUUAUUAGAUAUAGUUAGAUUCUAUAAAAUAUAA
rnacentral:tRNA from 1 species